GUAGGGAAUAUUGCACAAUGGGGGAAACCCUGAUGCAGCGACGCCGCGUGAGUGAUGAAGGCCUUCGGGUCGUAAAGCUCUGUCGUAUGGGACUAACAAAAUGAAGGUACCAUGCAAGAAAGGAUCGGCUAACUUCGUGCCAGCAGCCGCGGUAAGACGAGGGAUCCUAGCGUUGUUCGGAAUUAUUGGGCGUAAAGCGGGUGUAGGCGGGCCUGUCAGUCAGGUGUGAAAUCCCAGGGCUUAACCCUGGAAGUGCACUUGAUACUGCAGGUCUUGAGUGUGGUAGAGGCUAUUAGAAUUCUUGGUGUAGUGGUGAAAUACGUAGAUAUCAAGAGGAAUACCGGAGGCGAAGGCGGAUAGCUGGGCCAACACUGACGCUGAGACCCGAAAGCGUGGGGAUCAAACAGGAUUAGAUACCCUAGUAGUCC
rnacentral:rRNA from 1 species